UACUCAGCUCAUCCAAAGCCCACAUAAGA
rnacentral:piRNA from 1 species